rnacentral:rRNA from 1 species
GUAACACGUAGGUUAUCUGCCUUUGGGUGGGGGAUAGCCCAUGGAAACAUGGGGUAAUACCGCAUAAAGCCUUUCGGGGUUAAAGGAGCAAUUGUUCCGCCUGGGGAUGAGCCUGCGGUCCAUUAGCUUGUUGGUGUGGUAAUGGCGCACCAAGGCGACGAUGGAUAGCCGGCCUGAGAGGGUGAACGGCCACACUGGGACUGAGACACGGCCCAGACUCUUACGGGAGGCAGCAGCUAAGAAUCUUCCGCAAUGGGGGAAACCCUGACGGAGCGACGCCGCGUGGACGAUGAAGGCCGGAAGGUUGUAAAGUCCUUUUCUUCGCGAAGAAUAAUGCUGGGAGUGGAAUGCCCGGCAGAUGACGUUAGCGGAGGAAUAAGCCCCGGCCAAUUACGUGCCAGCAGCCGCGGUAACACGUAUGGGGCGAGCGUUGUUCGGAAUUAUUGGGCGUAAAGGGCGUGUAGGCGGCCUGUUAAGCUUGGUGUUAAAGGCCACGGCUCAACCGUGGUUUAGCGCUGAGAACUGGCGGGCUAGAGUUCUGGAGGGGGAGCUGGAAUUCCAGGUGUAGGGGUGAAAUCUGUAGAUAUCUGGAAGAACACCGGUGGCGAAGGCGAGCUCCUGGCCAUGGACUGACGCUGAGGCGCGAAAGCGUGGGGAGCGAACAGGAUUAGAUACCCUGGUAGUCCACGCUGUAAACGAUGUGCACUGGGCGUAGGGGGCAUUGGGUCCUCUGUGCCGUAGCUAACGCGUUAAGUGCACCGCCUGGGGAGUAUGCCCGCAAGGGUGAAACUCAAAGGAAUUGACGGGGGCCCGCACAAGCGGUGGAGCAUGUGGUUUAAUUCGAUGAUACGCGAGGAACCUUACCGGGGUUUGACAUGCACAGGGAUGUCUUGGAGACAAGGCAGUCCCUUCUGGGGACCUGUGCACAGGUGCUGCAUGGCUGUCGUCAGCUCGUGUCGUGAGAUGUUGGGUUAAGUCCCCCAACGAGCGCAACCCCUGCUGUCUGUUGCUAACAGGUAAUGCUGAGGAGUCGGACGGAACUGCCGGUGUCAAACCGGAGGAAGGUGGGGAUGACGUCAAGUCAUCAUGUCCCUUAUGUCCCGGGCUACACUCGUGUUACAAUGGCCGG